UCCGAGUUGACCCCGGCAGUCUCCCAUGAGUCCCCACCAUUAUGUGCUGGCAACUGGGAGCGAGAGUUGCGCUCGUUGCGGGACUUAACCCAACAUCUCACGACACAAGCUGACGACAGCCAUGCAGCACCUGUGUACGCGUCCCGAAGGAGGACCGGUGUUUCCACCGGCUUUCACGUACAUGUCAAGCCCAGGUAAGGUUCUUCGCGUUGCAUCGAAUUAAACCACAUGCUCCACCGCUUGUGCGGGCCCCCGUCAAUUCCUUUGAGUUUUAACCUUGCGGCCGUACUCCCCAGGCGGUCGACUUCACGCGUUAGCUUCGGUACCAAGGAAUCGCUUCCCCAACACCCAGUCGACAUCGUUUAGGGCGUGGACUAC
rnacentral:misc_RNA from 1 species